UACGUAGGUGGCAAGCGUUGUCCGGAUUUACUGGGCGUAAAGCGCGCGCAGGCGGAUUGGUCAGUCCGGGGUGAAAUCUCACGGCUCAACUGUGAGCGGUCCCCGGAUACUGCCAGUCUCGAGGUGUCUAGAGGAGAGCGGAAUUCCCGGUGUAGUGGUGGAAUGCGUAGAUAUCGGGAAGAACACCCGUGGCGAAGGCGGCCGGCUGGGCCGAUCCUGACGCUGAGGCGCGAAGGCGUGGGGAGCGAACGGG
rnacentral:rRNA from 1 species